CAUUGCAGGCUUCCUACACAUGAAUGCUCUACACCUCCAUCUCCAUCUCCCACAACCAAGGUAACAGCUUUGAGACUCACUAAAAGUUGGUAUGUUAUGUAAGGAAUUUCUAAAUUAAGUUUUAUACUACAUGUUAUAUCUGAUAUUAAACCACUGUAUGGUGCAUAUUACUGUACGUAACUUACUAUGCAUAGAGGACUUACUGACAUAAUUAUAUUUUGUACAUUCCAGAAUCCCAGAACCCACUGAAUGAUGUAGGCUAUGAGGCCACAUAAGACUUUGUCCAGGGUUACAUAGCAUGACAACUUUAAACUAAAAAACCAACAUUUUUCACACAACUCCAGGUUGUACUACACAUUACAAGUGUCAUCAAGGGAUAACUACAAGUAGAAGCACCAUUUUUGGAUGGAAAAAACCCUUCAGGAAAGUAUAUGUAUCAAAUGUAACAUGUAGUAGUGUACCAAAGGAUGAAAAGUAAGCUUUUUACAUAUAGUAUGUACAUACGUACAUAACUUUUUUUAUUAGGAAUUUCCAACCAAGUUUGAUUACAUGUUAUAAACCACUGUACGUAUGGUUAUACUGUAUGUAACUUACUAACAUACAUGACUUAACUUAGAUAAUUUUUUGGUACAUUCCAGAAUCCCAGAACCCCCUGAAUGAUGUAGGCUAUGGGGCCACAUAAGACUUUGUCCAGGGUUACAUAGCACGACAACUUUAAACCAAAAAAUCCCAGAACCCCCUGAAUGAUGUAGGCUAUGGGGCCACAUAAAACUUUGUCCAGGGUUACAUAGCACGACAACUUUAAACUAAAAAACUACCAGACUGGGAUUUUAGUGUACUCCAGGAUGUACUACUGUGAUGGUAAUUGCUUCAUAGCAAAGAAAGAUAAAGGAAAGGAGAACGCAUUUUCGAGAAGUUCGGCAGCAAGGAGGUUUUCGCGCCACUGUUGGAGGCGCCUAUGUUCGUGGUUGUUCCAGAAUCGGCAGGAGUGUUGUGGAUCUCGUCGUUACGUGAGAAACGCCGCGAUUUCUGAUGCAAUGCCUCGUCUAGAUUAAUCUAAGAAGUUCUAGAAAUCCCUGGAGUCGGUGACGUUCGCCGUAGGCUCCGCCCCGAGUGCUGUAUAAAUACGACGAACGAACUUUGGAGAGCAGUGAUCGUAAGAGAGAGAGAGAUCGUAAAAGAGAGAUCACCAGUUAGUCACAGAGAGCCACAGAUCAGAUUAUCAGUGAGAGAUCAGCAGCAGCAGAGAUCUUCCGUGAGGUACGAGAAAAAGGAACCGACGAAGUAUCAAUCAAAAGAAGAGUUGGCUGGCUAUUGGUCUAGUCGUCUUCAGGUGUGGUCUACCGUGUUAUCUCGACGUCGGGCAGACUUCAGAGAAGAAAAGGUCCUGUUACAGGUGUUGGGGAAUUCCUGCCUUACAAGAAGAUUAGUUUCUGCAAUACGGAGUCAAGAGGACGUCCGAAAUCGCCGAUCUACUUUUAUGAAACCACCUCUUCGAAGUGCCAAACUGUUUAGCAAGUAUUCUUAUUACCUCACUGUUUCCCCCAGUUCAUGCAGUGUAAGAUUCUGUCGUUUUAUGUAAAUAGGAGAUACCAUUCUGCAUUUACAUUUGUUAGUAAGCUUGUAAAUAAACCUUUGUUGUGUUAGUGUUUCUUUCUAUAUUCGUAUCCCCAGUUUCAACUGUUUGUGUUGAUAUUUUUUUU